UGUGUCAAGGGAUGGGAAUCGAACCCACGACCUUCCGCUUACCGGGCAGAUGCCAUGACCACUAGGCCACAUGACC